UUUCCUGAGCCUGUGCUAUGAGUACCUAGGAGGAGAAAGUUCCAUCAUGUCGGAGAUCAGAGGAAAACCCAUUGAGCCACCCUGCAGUUCUGUGUGGUGAAGCCACUCAUGGCGGUCAGCACUGUGGUCCUCCAGGCCUUCGGCAAGUACCGGGAUGGGGACUUUGAGUAAGCAGCGGGUGCUCCCCGGGGUGUGUGGGAGGAGUGUUGGCGCAGGCUGGUGCCUUGGCUCAGGGAAGGGGGCAGCCAGAGUGGCCGCACAGCCAUGACCUUCCUGGGUGUCUGGUGCUCACAACCCCCCUGAAGUCUGAGCCCAGCAGUGGACACCCUUGCAGUUGGCCCCGCUGCCAGCCCCGGAGUGAGCCAUUGGCAGCAGUCACGUUCAUGUCCAGGCUGCAGAGUGGUACCAUGAAGGGAUGGGCCACAAAGGGACAGUGACCACUGCUGAGGCAGGGAGCGAGAGGGUCAGAGCCCCAAGAGGUCGGCUCAAGUCCACAGAUACAAAGCCCGUGCUGUGUAAAUUGUCCACACCCAUUUCAUUCUGGGCUUAGUGAAAGUGACCCCGUG
rnacentral:lncRNA from 1 species